CCUACGGGAGGCAGCAGUAGGGAAUCUUCCACAAUGGACGAAAGUCUGAUGGAGCAACGCCGCGUGAGUGAAGAAGGGUUUCGGCUCGUAAAGCUCUGUUGGUAGUGAAGAAGGAUAUAGGUAGUAACUGGCCUUUGUUUGACGGUAAUUGCUUAGAAAGUACCGGCUAACUACGUGCCAGCAGCCGCGGUAAUACGUAGGGUGCAAGCGUUGUCCGGAUUUAUUGGGCGUAAAGCGAGUGCAGGCGGUUCAACAAGUCUGAUGUGAAAGCCUCGGGCUCAACCGGAGAAUUGCAUCAGAAACGGGUGAACUUGAGUGAAGAAGAGGAGAGUAGAAGUCCAUGUGUAGCGGUGGAAUGCGUAGAGAUAUGGAGGAACACUAGUGGCGAAGGCGGCCCUCUGGUCUGCAACUGACGCUGAGGCGCGAAAGCAUGGGGAGCGAACAGGAUUAGAUACCCGGGUAGUC
rnacentral:rRNA from 1 species